rnacentral:rRNA from 1 species
CCUACGGGGGGCAGCAGUGAGGAAUAUUGGUCAAUGGACGAGAGUCUGAACCAGCCAAGUAGCGUGAAGGAUGACUGCCCUAUGGGUUGUAAACUUCUUUUAUAUGGGAAUAAAACGUUCCACGUGUGGGAUUUUGUAUGUACCAUAUGAAUAAGGAUCGGCUAACUCCGUGCCAGCAGCCGCGGUAAUACGGAGCAUCCGAGCGUUAUCCGGAUUUAUUGGGUUUAAAGGGAGCGUAGGUGGAUUGUUAAGUCAGUUGUGAAAGUUUGCGGCGCAACCGUAAAAUUGCAGUUGAAACUGGCAGUCUUGAGUACAGUAGAGGUGGGCGGAAUUCGUGGUGUAGCGGUGAAAUGCUUAGAUAUCACGAAGAACUCCGAUUGCGAAGGCAGUUCACUGGACUGCAACUGACACUGAGGCUCGAAAGUGUGGGUAUCAAACAGGAUUUGAUACCCUAGUAGUC